GCUCAGGAUGAACGCUAGCUACAGGCUUAACACAUGCAAGUCGAGGGGUAGCAGGGUAGCAAUACCGCUGACGACCGGCGCACGGGUGAGUAACACGUAUCCAACCUUCCCAUAACUCAGGGAUAGCCUUUCGAAAGAAAGAUUAAUACCUGAUAGUACUUAAGAAAGGCAUCUUUUUUAAGUUAAAGAUUUAUUGGUUAUGGAUGGGGAUGCGUUCCAUUAGAUAGUUGGUGAGGUAACGGCUCACCAAGUCUUCGAUGGAUAGGGGUUCUGAGAGGAAGGUCCCCCACAUUGGUACUGAGACACGGACCAAACUCCUACGGGAGGCAGCAGUGAGGAAUAUUGGUCAAUGGGCGAGAGCCUGAACCAGCCAAGUAGCG
rnacentral:rRNA from 1 species